GACGAACGCUGGCGGCGUGCUUAACACAUGCAAGUCGAACGGAAAGGCCCUGCUUUUGUGGGGUGCUCGAGUGGCGAACGGGUGAGUAACACGUGAGUAACCUGCCCUUGACUUUGGGAUAACUUCAGGAAACUGGGGCUAAUACCGGAUAGGAGCUCCUGCUGCAUGGUGGGGGUUGGAAAGUUUCGGCGGUUGGGGAUGGACUCGCGGCUUAUCAGCUUGUUGGUGGGGUAGUGGCUUACCAAGGCUUCGACGGGUAGCCGGCCUGAGAGGGUGACAGGCCACCUUGGGACUGAGAUACGGCCCAGACUCCUACGGGAGGCACCAGUGGGGAAUAUUGCACAAUGGGCGGAGGCCUGAUGCAGCAACGCCGCGUGCGGGAUGACGGCCUUCGGGUUGUAAACCGCUUUCGCCUGUGACGAAGCGUGAGUGACGGUAAUGGGUAAAGAAGCACCGGCUAACUACGUG
rnacentral:rRNA from 1 species